ensembl:lncRNA
AUAUAUAUAUAUAUAUAUAUAUAUAUAUAUAUAUAUAUAUAUAUAUAUAUAUAUAUAUAUAAGCUAAUAUGGCUUGUUGUUGCAGAUACAGGUACAAAGAGUAUGGUGGGAAAAGAGCAAAUAUUUUAGAAGCAGUCCAAACUUGUCACUGUCUUAUGAGAUUGAGGACGCACUACACUGAGGAACUCAUUUUUGAGGCAGCACAGUCAUCUUGGGCUACCUUGACAGUGUCCAUCCCCAGGGUUUGACACGAGAUAUGAGAAGGCCGAGAGAGAGAAUAAACAGGAGACAGCAGAAGAGAGCGAGGCACAGAGAGAAAGCCUGGCUCAAAGAGAGGAAGUGGCACUAAGUGAAUGAUAAACAGAAAGAGCGAGACCAUGUGUGUAGUUUGCUCAUGCACAACUAAUAAAAGUCUUCCUCCCUCCGAUCGCUAUCAGUGCACACACAGAGCCAACUCCACAACAACACUGGCGUAUGUUCCUAAAUCCUUGCAACCAUGCAGUGACAUUAAAAGGAAAAUUAAGCCAAAACUAAAAUUCUGUCAUCAUUUACUCACCUUUAUGUCAUUCCAAAUUUGUACGUCUGUCUUUGAUUUGUGGGAAUGAAGAUAAGAAAUGUGUUUUUGUCCAUAUAAUGGAAGUGAGUGGCCACCAAAACCAACAUUCUUCAAAGUAUCUUGUUUUGUGUUCCACAGAAGAAAUUCAAAUUAUACAGGUUUGGAAUGAUAUUGAGGGUGAGUAAAUGAUGAAAAAAAUUUAAUUUUUAGAUGAACCAUCCCUUUAGGGACGAACUGACUAAAUAGCUCACUUUUGUGUGCAAUGUUUCAGCACAUAAACCCGCAUAUUAUGCACUAACCACCCACAUUUCAGUUGAACAGGAGCUAAAUGCAUUGAAAAAGCGCUGAGAUGUAAAAAAUUAAAUUAAGUCAUUGUAUUAAGUAUGAACACUUCUUUGUAUGUAAAUUAGACUCAUUAUACAUAGCAUCUUAUUCACAAAUCUCAGAACAAUUUGCUUGCUGUUGCACUAUUAGCGUCUGCUAAUAAUAGGGUGGAUUUUAUCAACAACAACAAAAAAAAGAUGUUUGUGUGUAUUUUCUAUUGAUCAUGAUGACAAUAAGUUAUCAAAUGAUGAUAGAGAACUGCAAUAAUCUGAUCUGCAAUAAAUAAGAGUUUGGGUUUCAUUUGGAAUCUGUGACUGGAUUGGACUAAUUCGGAUUGACUGCUUGUGUUCCUUCAAGCCUAAAAUGAGACAUUUGAAGUCAUUUGAUUUCCCUUCUCUAUGAGGUCCUCAUGUAAUAUAUUUAAAAAUGGACUGUAACGAGCACAUGAUUGCAGGAGAUUUCCAUUCCUCCCUCCCCCUCUCCUCACAUUGGAUAUCCGGAGGAAACUGCUGG